rnacentral:tRNA from 1 species
GUGAAUGUAGUUUAAAUAAAACCCUAGAUUGUGAUUCUAGAAAUAAGAGCUAAUACCUCUUCAUCCACC